UAUGGAAGGUUCAACGAAUCAAAACAAUAAAGAUUUAAAAGUAUUAUCAAUAAGAUUGGUAUACAACAAAUUUACUAUUGAUUGGGUAGAGAAAAAUAAAAAUACUCAGUACAAGAUCCUAAAGUGAAUUAGGUACGUUAAAACCACUUGUGGUCAAAAAUUCAGACUAUCUUGAUCCUACUAUUUUAGAUUAUCUAUCUUAAACCGUCGUAAUUAGGCGAUGAUAUGAUAUGAUGAUGUAUGCCUUCAAAACAGUUCAAAUCAGUUUAGAAGAUUAAAGACUACUGACGAAACUGCUCGAGCCAAACGCUCGGAAGAAUGUGACGACUAGUUAUGAACAUUUUCGU